rnacentral:lncRNA from 1 species
AUUUUUCAGAGUAAUGAUUCUCACUGUGGAGUCAUUUGAUUAUUAAGACCCGUUGGCAUAAGAUUACAUCCUCUGACUAUAAAAAUCCUGGAAGAAAACCUAGGAAAUAUUCGUCUGGACAUUGCACUUGGCAAUGAAUUUAUGGGCGCUUUGGAAUCCUGCAGAUAUAAUAAUGAUAAUUAAACAAAACACUCAGAGAAACUGCCAACCCUAGGAUGAAGUAUAUUGUUACUGUGCUUUGGGAUUAAAAUAAGUAACUACAGUUUAUAGAACUUUUAUACUGAUACACAGACACUAAAAAGGGAAAGGGUUUAGAUGAGAAGCUCUGCUGUGCAAUCAAGAAUCUCAGCCACUCAUUUCUGUAGGGGCUGCAGGAGCUCCCUGUAAAGAGAGGUUAUGGAGUCUGUAGCUUCAGGUAACCACUGAUCCACUUCCAGUCACUAUCCAUGAGUUUUUAUUUCCAAAUACAUGAAAUCAUAUGAAUUUCUGGUUUUUCCUGUUGGAGCCCAAGGAGCAAGGGCAGAAUGAGGAACAUGAUGUUUCUUACCGACAGUUACUCAUGACGUCUCCAUCCAGGACUGAGGGGGGCAUCCUUCUCCAUCUAGGACUGGGGGCAUCCUUCUCCAUCCAGUAUUGGGGGUCAUCCUUCUCCAUCCAGUAUUGGGGGUCAUCCUCCUCCAUCCAGGACCUGAGGGGUGUCCUUUUCUGCGCUUCCUUGGAUGGCAGUCUUUCCCUUCAUGUUUAUAGUGAUUUACCAUUAAAUCACUGUGCCGUUUUUUCCUAAAA